UUGUUGAUUGUUGAUAUCAUGUUUCAAAUGCUGUAAAGUGAACUCCGUUUCGCUGAAUACUGUAUCUCUUAAA
rnacentral:sRNA from 1 species